rnacentral:rRNA from 1 species
UACGAAGGGGGCUAGCGUUGUUCGGAAUCACUGGGCGUAAAGGGCGCGUAGGCGGCUUUAUAAGUCGGGGGUGAAAGCCUGUGGCUCAACCACAGAAUUGCCUUCGAUACUGUAGAGCUUGAGACCGGAAGAGGUAAGUGGAACUGCGAGUGUAGAGGUGAAAUUCGUAGAUAUUCGCAAGAACACCAGUGGCGAAGGCGGCUUACUGGUCCGGUUCCGACGCGGAGGCGCGAAAGCGUGGGGAGCAAACAGG